rnacentral:rRNA from 3 species
AGAGUUUGAUCAUGGCUCAGAUUGAACGCUGGCGGCAGGCCUAACACAUGCAAGUCGAACGGUAACAGAAAGAAGCUUGCUUCUUUGCUGACGAGUGGCGGACGGGUGAGUAAUGUCUGGGAAACUGCCUGAUGGAGGGGGAUAACUACUGGAAACGGUAGCUAAUACCGCAUAACGUCGCAAGACCAAAGAGGGGGACCUUCGGGCCUCUUGCCAUCGGAUGUGCCCAGAUGGGAUUAGCUUGUUGGUGGGGUAACGGCUCACCAAGGCGACGAUCCCUAGCUGGUCUGAGAGGAUGACCAGCCACACUGGAACUGAGACACGGUCCAGACUCCUACGGGAGGCAGCAGUGGGGAAUAUUGCACAAUGGGCGCAAGCCUGAUGCAGCCAUGCCGCGUGUAUGAAGAAGGCCUUCGGGUUGUAAAGUACUUUCAGCGGGGAGGAAGGGAGUAAAGUUAAUACCUUUGCUCAUUGACGUUACCCGCAGAAGAAGCACCGGCUAACUCCGUGCCAGCAGCCGCGGUAAUACGGAGGGUGCAAGCGUUAAUCGGAAUUACUGGGCGUAAAGCGCACGCAGGCGGUUUGUUAAGUCAGAUGUGAAAUCCCCGGGCUCAACCUGGGAACUGCAUCUGAUACUGGCAAGCUUGAGUCUCGUAGAGGGGGGUAGAAUUCCAGGUGUAGCGGUGAAAUGCGUAGAGAUCUGGAGGAAUACCGGUGGCGAAGGCGGCCCCCUGGACGAAGACUGACGCUCAGGUGCGAAAGCGUGGGGAGCAAACAGGAUUAGAUACCCUGGUAGUCCACGCCGUAAACGAUGUCGACUUGGAGGUUGUGCCCUUGAGGCGUGGCUUCCGGAGCUAACGCGUUAAGUCGACCGCCUGGGGAGUACGGCCGCAAGGUUAAAACUCAAAUGAAUUGACGGGGGCCCGCACAAGCGGUGGAGCAUGUGGUUUAAUUCGAUGCAACGCGAAGAACCUUACCUGGUCUUGACAUCCACGGAAGUUUUCAGAGAUGAGAAUGUGCCUUCGGGAACCGUGAGACAGGUGCUGCAUGGCUGUCGUCAGCUCGUGUUGUGAAAUGUUGGGUUAAGUCCCGCAACGAGCGCAACCCUUAUCCUUUGUUGCCAGCGGUCCGGCCGGGAACUCAAAGGAGACUGCCAGUGAUAAACUGGAGGAAGGUGGGGAUGACGUCAAGUCAUCAUGGCCCUUACGACCAGGGCUACACACGUGCUACAAUGGCGCAUACAAAGAGAAGCGACCUCGCGAGAGCAAGCGGACCUCAUAAAGUGCGUCGUAGUCCGGAUUGGAGUCUGCAACUCGACUCCAUGAAGUCGGAAUCGCUAGUAAUCGUGGAUCAGAAUGCCACGGUGAAUACGUUCCCGGGCCUUGUACACACCGCCCGUCACACCAUGGGAGUGGGUUGCAAAAGAAGUAGGUAGCUUAACCUUCGGGAGGGCGCUUACCACUUUGUGAUUCAUGACUGGGGUGAAGUCGUAACAAGGUAACCGUAGGGGAACCUGCGGUUGGAUCACCU